rnacentral:tRNA from 1 species
GGAAAGUUAACCAAGUGGAUUAAGGGAAUGACGGCAGUCAUAACAAACUGAAUAGUUUAGCAAGAGUUCGAAUCUCUUACUUUCCACCA